rnacentral:misc_RNA from 1 species
UUUCCGUAGGUGAACCUGCGGAAGAAUCAUUACCGAGUGAGGGCCCUCUGGGUCCAACCUCCCACCCGUGUUUAUCGUACCUUGUUGCUUCGGCGGGCCCGCCUCACGGCCGCCGGGGGGCACCCGCCCCCGGGCCCGCGCCCGCCGAAGACACCAUUGAACGCUGUCUGAAGAUUGCAGUCUGAGCAUCUUAGCUAAAUCAGUUAAAACUUUCAACAACGGAUCUCUUGGUUCCG